CUUCUUAGACAUUAUUGCUUUUCAUGUACAAAACAAUAAACCACUGCAUUUUCACCUACACACUGACACCUACCAGUCAUUCUGUGUACUACAGGCUUCUCAGAAAUUAUUGCAUUUUAUGUACAAACCAACAAACCACUGCAUUUUUCACCUACAUACUGACCCCUAUCAGUCAUUCGGUGUACUACAGGCUUCUUAGACAUUAUUGCUUUUCGUGUACAAAACAAUAAACCACUGCAUUUUUACCUACACACUUACACCUACCGGUCAUUCAGUGUACUACAGGCUUCUCAGACAUUAUUGCAUUUCAUGUACAAACCAACGAACCACGGCAUUUUCGCCUACAUGUUGACCCCUACCGGUCAAUCGGUAUACUACAGUCUUCUCAGACUUUAUUUCACUUCAUAAGCAAACAAACUAACUACAGCAUUUUCGCUUUUAUACUGACUCCUAUCUGUCAUACGGUAGGAUUAACCCCUUAGGGACACAUGACAUGUGUGACAUAUCAUGAUUCCCUUUUAUUCCAGAAGUUUGGUCCUUAAGGGGUUAAAGGGUAUUUUUACCAUACAAUCAGCAUUUAUGACCCCUACUGGUCAACAGCAAAACUGUCUUCACAUGUCAUAUACAAUUUACCAGCCAAUAUAAAUUACACAUAAGAUUGUUUUAACCCCUUAAGGACACAAGACAUGUGUGACGUGUCAUGAUUCCCUUUUAUUCCAGAAGUUUGGUCCUUACGGGGUUAAACAUAACCAUAAACCAGAAAUGAAACUCCAGCACGGGCUCAAAUUCAGGUUUAAUUCACAAUAAUUUACAUUUCACAUCAAGACCAACAGUGGUUCUAUCAACACUGC